AAAUUAGUAUUGCCUUUGUAAAUUAAAAUUAUUUACGGAAAGGAUAGUUAUUUAUUAUUUUACUCCAUCCAUUUUGAAAAUCACAAAAGUAAAUUUCAUUAUCCAUUUAUUAUUCUACUGGAAUGUAAUUUCAAUCAGCCAAAUUCAUAUAAAACAAUAUAGAUAUAGAUUCAAGUAGAAACCAUAAGCCUUUCCUCAAGCUCUUUAACUCCAUAUUCCUUAGCUCCUCAUAUGUAGAAAUGGGCUGCCAAAAAUGAAGUGCCAAGAUUCAUUCAGGCUUUUUAUCAAACAAUUGGAGGGCAUAAAAAAUCUGAAGACAGUGAAUAGUAUGGCAACAUGCAUGUGAUUACCUACAUUCAAGAACAAAACAAAAAGAAGAGGAAUAAAGAUAAAGAUAGAAGAUUGGUCUAAUUAUCACUCAUGUCCUAUAUAACAUGUACACAUUACAAGUUAUCUCACUGCUAAGUCAAUUACGAAUUGUCACUCAUUUGUAAGUCAUAUUGUUAGUGUCUAACAUAUGAAAGUCAUAACCAAGUACUCAUUUGCUUCACAUUACACAGAACAUCUUCAAGAGACUUAAAUAACCCAUGCAUGAAACAACUACCAAUCUACCUACUCUUAACAUGUAGAGGAACAAAGAUAACAGAUUUUGCAUUACACAAAUCAAAAUAGCAAUUCAAUUCAUGUACCUAUAAAAUUUGAAAAUCAAAACACUAUCAAGCACUUAUAUAUUUUAGUCCAUAAACAUUCACCUACAAACUCCAUUUUGCAGCAACUAGCAUAUGGCCUUCCUUCACCAGCAGCAAGCAUAUCUUAUAAAUGAAUAAUGAAUGGACAAGAAAAUCAUUUGCGGCUUGCUUUUAACUUGUGAACAAUUCACUGCUUAACUGCAGGUAAUAAGACAAAUCAAUUCUUUAUUUAGUAACAAGGUUAAGAGUAGAUUUUUACUAAACCAGUUCAAAUAUAUAUUAAUUCAAUACUUCCAAUCAAAAACAGGGGUAAAAAGGCAUGGUGGGUCAUGAAGAAAUGAACUUACGGGAGCAAUAAUAACAAAUUUGGCUUUAUUCUAUAAGCAUCAUAAACUUGGAAUUAGAGAAAUUAAAGAUGUUAGAGUCAUUAAAAAAAAACAUGAAAAGCAUAAGAGAAUUAUAUAGGCAUAAGGGUUCCUAUUAGCAAGGACUUGGGGAUAAUCUUUACAAAAAAUGUAUUUUUUUAAACAUAUAAUGCUUAUGUUUAAGCCCGUGAUUCACUCACUCACGACAAGGGUUUGGGUUUCCUGGGUUAUGAAGGGUUUGUUGGUGGCAGAGAGUGUCGGCAGUGGGUGAGUGAAGAUUUGGGUCUCGAUUUGUGGGUGGGUUUUGGAUAUUUUCAGCAGCUACGGUUUGGAUUGUGUUGACAGGUAAGCAGAAGUUUCAAUUUAGGACUGACUUCAACUCCAGUGCAGUAAAGAGAGACGACUGCGACUCAACGGCGAGCCAGCGCCAAUAAGCUAGGUCUGUCACAGAGAGAGAGAGAGAGAGAGAAAUGCUUGUACUUUGGACUACCGGUGAAUGAAAAUAUGGAAAAAUAAGAAAAAAAACAAAUUCAAAUUAUAAUUAAAUAAAAGAAAAAAUAUAUGGAAGACAAAACCCAUUAGCAUCACACUAUUUGUAGAAUUUCUCAACAUCUGAAAAAAUCCAAAAAAUUAAAUAAAAAAAUUAAUCAUAAGCUAAAUUAAAACAAAUCCAUCAAUUAAAUUGACGAAAAAUAAAAUAUUAAGUCAUUACCAGUUGACAACCCCCUUAGUUCUUUCUCCAAACUUAGCUUGUGAGGGAGAACGAGCUAGAUUACUUGAAUAUGCAACUUAUGGUAGCCACUUCAUCCCUUGUUGGUGGUUAUUACUUGCUUGCCCAGUAGAGGCACUAGAUGUUUAGUUGGAGAAAAAGCCCCUUCUAUAACAAGCAGUUAGGGUUUUGGUUCGUUUUUCAAUUUGGGAAAAUGGAAAAAAGGAAACAAAGUUUUAAUUUUUCAUUAUCUAUUUGGAUUAAUUGAACUUAAUUUGUAAAUAGACAACAGAAAACAGAAGAGAUCGAGAAGAAAACGAAAGAGAAAGAGGAAGAUAAAGGCAAGAUAGCGAUGGAGUUUAAGAACGAUAGCUAGAUG
rnacentral:lncRNA from 1 species